UACGAAGGGGGCGAGCGUUGUUCGGAAUCACUGGGCGUAAAGCGUGCGUAGGCCGUUUCGUAAGUUGGAAGUGAAAGCCCAGGGCUUAACCCUGGAAUUGCUUUCAAAACUGCGAGACUUGAAUUCGGGAGAGGAUAGCGGAAUUCCCAGUGUAGUAGUGAAAUACGUAGAUAUUGGGAGGAACACCAGUGGCGCAAGCGGCUAUCUGGACCGACAUUGACGCUGAGGCACGAAAGCGUGGGGAUCAAACAGG
rnacentral:rRNA from 1 species